rnacentral:tRNA from 1 species
GUGUGUAUGGUGUAAUCAACACGUUAGCUUUUCAUGUUAAAAAUAUAUGUCUAUAUUACACAC